rnacentral:rRNA from 2 species
UUAAUUUGAGAGUUUGAUCCUGGCUCAGGACGAACGCUGGCGGCGUGCCUAAUACAUGCAAGUCGAACGAACUCUGGUAUUGAUUGGUGCUUGCAUCAUGAUUUACAUUUGAGUGAGUGGCGAACUGGUGAGUAACACGUGGGAAACCUGCCCAGAAGCGGGGGAUAACACCUGGAAACAGAUGCUAAUACCGCAUAACAACUUGGACCGCAUGGUCCGAGUUUGAAAGAUGGCUUCGGCUAUCACUUUUGGAUGGUCCCGCGGCGUAUUAGCUAGAUGGUGGGGUAACGGCUCACCAUGGUAAUGAUACGUAGCCGACCUGAGAGGGUAAUCGGCCACAUUGGGACUGAGACACGGCCCAAACUCCUACGGGAGGCAGCAGUAGGGAAUCUUCCACAAUGGACGAAAGUCUGAUGGAGCAACGCCGCGUGAGUGAAGAAGGGUUUCGGCUCGUAAAACUCUGUUGUUAAAGAAGAACAUAUCUGAGAGUAACUGUUCAGGUAUUGACGGUAUUUAACCAGAAAGCCACGGCUAACUACGUGCCAGCAGCCGCGGUAAUACGUAGGUGGCAAGCGUUGUCCGGAUUUAUUGGGCGUAAAGCGAGCGCAGGCGGUUUUUUAAGUCUGAUGUGAAAGCCUUCGGCUCAACCGAAGAAGUGCAUCGGAAACUGGGAAACUUGAGUGCAGAAGAGGACAGUGGAACUCCAUGUGUAGCGGUGAAAUGCGUAGAUAUAUGGAAGAACACCAGUGGCGAAGGCGGCUGUCUGGUCUGUAACUGACGCUGAGGCUCGAAAGUAUGGGUAGCAAACAGGAUUAGAUACCCUGGUAGUCCAUACCGUAAACGAUGAAUGCUAAGUGUUGGAGGGUUUCCGCCCUUCAGUGCUGCAGCUAACGCAUUAAGCAUUCCGCCUGGGGAGUACGGCCGCAAGGCUGAAACUCAAAGGAAUUGACGGGGGCCCGCACAAGCGGUGGAGCAUGUGGUUUAAUUCGAAGCUACGCGAAGAACCUUACCAGGUCUUGACAUACUAUGCAAAUCUAAGAGAUUAGACGUUCCCUUCGGGGACAUGGAUACAGGUGGUGCAUGGUUGUCGUCAGCUCGUGUCGUGAGAUGUUGGGUUAAGUCCCGCAACGAGCGCAACCCUUAUUAUCAGUUGCCAGCAUUAAGUUGGGCACUCUGGUGAGACUGCCGGUGACAAACCGGAGGAAGGUGGGGAUGACGUCAAAUCAUCAUGCCCCUUAUGACCUGGGCUACACACGUGCUACAAUGGAUGGUACAACGAGUUGCGAACUCGCGAGAGUAAGCUAAUCUCUUAAAGCCAUUCUCAGUUCGGAUUGUAGGCUGCAACUCGCCUACAUGAAGUCGGAAUCGCUAGUAAUCGCGGAUCAGCAUGCCGCGGUGAAUACGUUCCCGGGCCUUGUACACACCGCCCGUCACACCAUGAGAGUUUGUAACACCCAAAGUCGGUGGGGUAACCUUUUAGGAACCAGCCGCCUAAGGUGGGACAGAUGAUUAGGGUGAAGUCGUAACAAGGUAGCCGUAGGAGAACCUGCGGCUGGAUCACCUCCUUUCUAAGGAA